AGAGUUUGAUCCUGGCUCAGGACGAACGCUGGCGGCGUGCUUAACACAUGCAAGUGGAGCGACGAACCAGGGCUUGCCCUGGGGCAAAGCCGCGAACGGGUGAGUAACACGUGGGUCACCUGCCUCGAUGACUGGGACAACCCGGGGAAACUCGGGCUAAUACCGGAUGUGCCCGCAAGGGGAAAGGAAGCUUCGGCCUCCGCAUCGAGAUGGGCCCGCGGCCCAUUAGCUUGUUGGUGAGGUAACGGCCCACCAAGGCUCCGGAGGGUAGCUGGCCUGAGAGGACGAUCAGCCACACUGGGACUGAGACACGGCCCAGACUCCUACGGGAGGCAGCAGUGGGGAAUCUUGCGCAAUGCGCGAAAGCGUGACGCAGCAACGCUGCGUGGGGGAAGAAGGCUUUCGGGUUGUAAACCCCUUUCAGUUGGGACGAAGCUCUGCCGGUGAAUAGCCGGUUGGAGUGACGGUACCUUCACAAGAAGCACCGGCUAACUACGUGCCAGCAGCCGCGGUAAUAC
rnacentral:rRNA from 1 species